rnacentral:rRNA from 1 species
GACGAACCGUGCGAACGUUAUUCGGAAUCACUGGGCUUAAAGCGCGUGUAGGCGGGACGGCACGUCGGUCGCUGAAAUCCCCCGGCUUAACCGGGGAACGGGCGUCGAUACGACCGUCCUGGAGGGGCGUAGGGGGAUCUGGAACUUCCGGUGGAGCGGUGAAAUGCGUUGAGAUCGGAAGGAACGCCCGUGGCGAAAGCGAGGUCCUGGACGCCUACUGACGCUGAGACGCGAAAGCCAGGGGAGCGAACGGG